AUAGUGAACCAGUACCGUGAGGGAAAGGCGAAAAGAACCCCGGCGAGGGGAGUGAAAAAGAACCUGAAACCGUGUACGUACAAGCAGUGGGAGCCCCACCACUAAGCCAGUGGUGAACUCCACAUACGCAUCCUUUGCUGAGGAUACGGUUAACGGAGCGAAAGCGACGUUCAACCGCAAAAGAAGCAGAGGGGGCUUAGUGGUGGGGUGACUGCGUACCUUUUGUAUAAUGGGUCAGCGACUUAUAUUCUGUAGCAAGGUUAACCGAAUAGGGGAGCCGGAGGGAAACCGAGUCUUAAUUGGGCGUUAAGUUGCAGGGUAUAGACCCGAAACCCGGUGAUCUAGCCAUGGGCAGGUUGAAGGUUGGGUAACACUAACUGGAGGACCGAACCGACUAAUGUUGAAAAAUUAGCGGAUGACCUGUGGCUGGGGGUGAAAGGCCAAUCAAACCGGGAGAUAGCUGGUUCUCCCCGAAAGCUAUUUAGGUAGCGCCUCGUGAAUUCAUCUCCGGGGGUAGAGCACUGUUUCGGCUAGGGGGCCAUCCCGGCUUACCAACCCGAUGCAAACUGCGAAUACCGGAGAAUGUUAUCACGGGAGACACACGGCGGGUGCUAACGUCCGUCGUGAAGAGGGAAACAACCCAGACCGCCAGCUAAGGUCCCAAAGUCAUGGUUAAGUGGGAAACGAUGUGGGAAGGCCCAGACAGCCAGGAUGUUGGCUUAGAAGCAGCCAUCAUUUAAAGAAAGCGUAAUAGCUCACUGGUCGAGUCGGCCUGCGCGGAAGAUGUAACGGGGCUAAACCAUG
rnacentral:rRNA from 1 species